UGCCCACUGAUUAUAUAAUUAAAGGGCUGCAGUAAUUUGACUGUACAAAGGUAGCAUAAUCAUUAGUCAUUUAAUUGAUGACUUGUAUGAAAGAUUGGAUGAAAUAUAAACUGUCUUAAAAUUAAAUUUUAAAAUUUAAUUUUUUAGUUAAAAAGCUUAAAUAAAAAAAAAAGACGAGAAGACCCUAUAGAGUUUAAUUAUUUUUUAAUUUAUAAUUUUAUGUAAAUAUGAAUUUAUUUUAAUUUAAAAAAUAAUUUUAUUGGGGUGAUAAAAAAAUUAAAUGAACUUUUUUUAAUAUAGUAUACAUAAAUAAGUGAUAUAUUGAUCCAAUUUUAUUGAUUAUAAGAAAAAAUUACCUUAGGGAUAACAGCGUAAUUUUAUUUUUUAGUUCAAAUAAAAAAUAAAGUUUGCGACCUCGAUGUUGGAUUAAGAUAAAAUUUAAAUGCAGAAGUUUAAAAUUUUGA
rnacentral:rRNA from 1 species